rnacentral:rRNA from 1 species
AUACGGAGGGUGCAAGCGUUAUUCGGAAUCACUGGGCGUAAAGGACGCGUAGGCGGGUUGGCAAGUCAGAUGUGAAAUCCUACAGCUUAACUGUAGAACUGCAUUUGAAACUGCUAACCUAGAGUAUGGGAGGGGGAGAUGGAAUUAGUGGUGUAGGGGUAAAAUCCAUAGAUAUCACUAGGAAUACCGAAAGCGAAGGCGAUCUCCUGGAACAUAACUGACGCUAAGGCGUGAAAGCGUGGGGAGCAAACAGGAUUAGAUACCCUAGUAGUCC